GUACCUUGUUAGUGCGCAUGCUUAAAAACAGGGCGCAUGCGCACGUUAAGGUGGUGGCACUAUUGCCAAGAGCAAAGAUGGCGGUGAUGGCUGCGUUGGGUCACGUGACGGUGGAACUCGGAUUUGAUUGUGAGUCCUUGUGGCUUCAUGUCUGGCUGGUGGGUUUUUGCUUGUGGUGUAAACAGGAAGAUGAGCUACAGAACUAAACAGGAAACGUAGUGUACUAGAGAUACACGUGACAGUCAGAAGGUACUUUGUUCACUGACAGGUGGUAAACAGCCCAAAACUAGUGGUAUGAGGACUUAAAGAAAUGAAACUCAAUUUAAUGCAAUUUGGAUUGUAUUCAAGAGAAAUAUGCUUCAGCUGAACUAAAGUGAUCUGCAAGACAGAAGCGUGUGUGUGACCUGUGGGAAUAAAUCCAUCUGCCCGACUCCUCACACACCACGACUCCUGUUUAUUCACCAGAGCAGGACCAUAAAGUUGACGUCAGCCUUCGCCUUCGGAUGACUAACCUUUACUCCACAACACAAAAUGACACCAUUUACAGAUCAGAGAUGGUGACGGUGCUUUGAGCCUACUAAAUAUCACUGGUAUCUAAUUUUGGAAAAAGUCACAAAUAGACGGAGAAACGACAGGAGAACUUUGUGUGCUCGGAUCGUGCGCUAAAAAUAGAGAUCUUUUCAAAUCCGAUCGUUCGGACCCGUGGAUGAUGUCGGAUCCACUCUCCGUCUCGUUCUCCUUAUUACCGAGCACGUCCUGUCGAGGUGUGAGAGACAUGGACACUUUUUGUCACGGAUGAUUUUGAAUCCCAGCGUCCUAACAGGCAGCAUGUCGACAUCACCGAGGGAGGACGGAGGGAGGAUUAAAGAGGAAGACGAAGAAACAGAGAUGAUGAACAGAGAGCUCUAGCUAUCUGACUAAUAAACACAAGCUGAGCUGAGCUACACAAAAGUAUUAAACUGUACUUUCCCUUUAAUAUUUCACCUUCUAAUGGAGAUUUAAGAUAAAUAACAGGACUGUACACACCUUUAAAAUGACACCUGAUACAUCUUAGGAGGUUCACACUGUGCAAAAGAUUAGAAAAGGUACAGUACAGGUUUAAUCACUUUUUUUUCACAGAGUAUAUAUUUUAAAAUACAGUUUAAACAUAUUUAAUAUAUACUGUAUAAAAUCAUUUUAAAAUACUGAUUGAAACAGUUGUUUGAUUUUUAAAAACAAAUAAAUACAGAUUAAAACUUAGAUUUCAAACAAAUACUGUGUGAAAUUUUUAAAAAUACAGUUUUAAAUCUUAAAUAAAAAAAUUACAUUGAAUAUUUUAAACGUAUAUAUAAUAAAAUACUGUAUAAAAACAUUUUAAAUACUCUUUGAAACACAUUUAAAUAAAAAAUACUGUUUAAAAGCAAAAAUAAAAAACAGAGAAUUAAAUCUUAUAUUUAUAAAUAGCUUAAUAUAUGUAAAAGAAUUGGAGGACUAAACAAACAAACAAACAAACAAACAGACAGACAGACAGACAAAUAAUAAUAAAUAAACAACUAAAUAUUAUAUUAUAUGUAACAUAAUUUUACAGAGCACAAUUUCUUUUCUCUUGAAAUUCCCCUUGCCAAUACUUUUGCAACAUAUACAACUAAGGGGAAAUUUGAUAUCACAGGGGGCAAGUACAUAAUUUCCUCAGCUGUUUAAAUGAAAACCAUUUUAUUUUGUUUAUUAUUUAUUUUCUAUUCAUAUUGAGCUUUGUAUAUAAUGUCAAUAAAACCAGCCUCAAAAGGAGGGUGCCAAUAA